rnacentral:rRNA from 1 species
UACGUAGGGUGCAGGCGUUAAUCGGAAUUACUGGGCGUAAAGCGUGCGCAGGCGGCUCCUUAAGUCAGAUGUGAAAGCCCCGGGCUUAACCUGGGAACUGCGUUUGAAACUGGGGGGCUAGAGUGUGGAAGAGGGAGGUGGAAUUCCAGGUGUAGCAGUGAAAUGCGUAGAGAUCUGGAGGAACACCGAUGGCGAAGGCAGCCCCCUGGGCUAACACUGACGCUCAUGCACGAAAGCGUGGGGAGCAAACAGG